ACGGGUGAGUAACGCGUGGGUAACCUGCCUCAUACAGGGGGAUAACAGUUGGAAACGGCUGCUAAUACCGCAUAAGCGCACAGUACCGCAUGGUACGGUGUGAAAAACUCCGGUGGUAUGAGAUGGACCCGCGUCUGAUUAGGUAGUUGGUGGGGUAACGGCCUACCAAGCCGACGAUCAGUAGCCGACCUGAGAGGGUGACCGGCCACAUUGGGACUGAGACACGGCCCAAACUCCUACGGGAGGCAGCAUG
rnacentral:rRNA from 1 species